rnacentral:rRNA from 1 species
UACGGAAGGCAGCAGUGGGGAAUAUUGCACAAUGGGCGCAAGCCUGAUGCAGCCAUGCCGCGUGUAUGAAGAAGGCCUUCGGGUUGUAAAGUACUUUCAGUCGUGAGGAAGGUGUUAAGGUUAAUAACCUUAGCAAUUGACGUUAGCGACAGAAGAAGCACCGGCUAACUCCGUGCCAGCAGCCGCGGUAAUACGGAGGGUGCGAGCGUUAAUCGGAAUUACUGGGCGUAAAGGGCACGCAGGCGGUUAAUUAAGUUGGAUGUGAAAUCCCCGGGCUUAACCUGGGAAUGGCAUUCAAGACUGGUUAGCUAGAGUCUUGUAGAGGGGGUAGAAUUCCAUGUGUAGCGGUGAAAUGCGUAGAGAUGUGGAGGAAUACCGGUGGCGAAGGCGGGCCCCUGGGACAAAGGACUGACGCUCAUGUGCGAAAGCGUGGGGAGCAAACAGGGAUUAGAUACC